GUACUUGCUUCAGCAGCACAUAUACUAAAAUUGGAGCAAUACAGAGAAAAUUAGCAUGGCCUCUGUGCAAGGAUGCAUGCAAAAACUCAUUAGUAUGUACCAUUUCCU
rnacentral:snRNA from 1 species